ACAGGAAGAACAAGAAGCCCAUAGCAGCAAAUGCAUGCGUUAUACUGAAUAUCUCAAAUUUAUUAUCGUGCUACAAAUGAUGUUUGUCCAGAUUAUCCAUGCAUUUGUGGUACUUUAUCUUAAUAUAUAUUUUACUCACUGCACAGUUCUUCAUCAGCCUGACUCUGUUAUCCCAGUUGACCUUGGUGCCAAUGUGACUCUACAGUGCUUUUUCGCAGAAAACUGCAGCAUGUAUGAUAUGUUUUGGUACAAGCAAAUCAAGGGCCAGCAGCCAUGUGCUGUUGUUAAGGUGGGAGCAGUUGCUGAUCCUAUUUUUUCAUAAAGGAUAUAUGAACACUCACUUCAAUAUCAUCAGGUCAAAGAAAAGACUUUCUCUUAGUAUCAUUAACAUUAGUCACUGGGAUGAGGCGGUCUAUUACUGUGGAGUGGAGAUUUUCUUUGAUAUUGAGUUUGGAAAUGGAGUAUUUUUGACAUUAAAUUUAUCAUCUUUUAACUCUGCAGCUUUAAAUCCAACAGAGAGAGAUUAUCUUAUCGCAGUCGUUAUCUUUCAGUGCAACAUUAUUGGAAUAUUUGCCUUGUGGAUCAUAUGUCUGUGCAUCAGGAUUAAAAAACAAAAGGCUUUAUCUCCAGUUUAUACCAUCUCCAGUCAGCGUCAUAGAGGAUACAUACCUGUCCAUAUUGAAAUAUCUAACGCAAAGGUAAAGUAAUUGUUUUUUGUUUUUUUUUUCUCUUAAAAUUUCUGUUUGUGAACUAAGAAUAUGUUUUAUAAAUACAACGUUUUCCAAUUUCUAGGAACAAACAUUUCAAAGGAGCUUGUGAUCUAAACCAGUCAUAAAAAAAAUCCAUAAACUGAUGCUUACACAUACUUCUGAAAUUUUGAAUCACUGUAAAAUCAAUUAAAAUCACACCAGACAUAGAGCUUUUAUUUUUACAGAUGAAAAUCUAAGACUGUGGCCUAUAGUUUGCACUAACCUCUUGCACUAACUUAUUUUUCAGAGUCACACAUCCAGUUUUUGAUGCUAAUCAAGAUCAAGAAGAUUGAGGGGACAAUGAUGCCCAGUAAAAUUUGGAUCAUUUGAGAAUGAAACAUUGGCCAUAUUUCUUUAAUAUAACACAUUUGUAACAAUUACUGUAUAAGUACUGUAUAUUUGAUAAUUCAAUAUUGUUUGUUUCAAAUUUACAAUUUGAAUAAAUGAGCAUUGGCAACUUUUUAUGUUCCA
ensembl:lncRNA